AGUGAACGCUGGCGGUAGGCCUAACACAUGCAAGUCGAACGGCAGCACAGUAAGAGCUUGCUCUUACGGGUGGCGAGUGGCGGACGGGUGAGGAAUACAUCGGAAUCUACUUUUUCGUGGGGGAUAACGUAGGGAAACUUACGCUAAUACCGCAUACGACCUACGGGUGAAAGCAGGGGAUCUUCGGACCUUGCGCGAUUGAAUGAGCCGAUGUCGGAUUAGCUAGUUGGCGGGGUAAAGGCCCACCAAGGCGACGAUCCGUAGCUGGUCUGAGAGGAUGAUCAGCCACACUGGAACUGAGACACGGUCCAGACUCCAACGGGAGGCAGCAGUGGGGAAUAUUGGACAAUGGGCGCAAGCCUGAUCCAGCCAUACCGCGUGGGUGAAGAAGGCCUUCGGGUUGUAAAGCCCUUUUGUUGGGAAAGAAAAGCAGCAGGUUAAUACCCCGCUGUUCUGACGGUACCCAAAGAAUAAGCACCGGCUAACUUCGUG
rnacentral:rRNA from 1 species